UCCGAAGGGGGCUAGCGUUGUCCGAAGUUACUGGGCGUAAAUCGCUCGUCUUCUUUCUCUCCCUUCCUCUUUUCCCUCCCUCUUCCUCCACUCGGAGGGUCGGUAGAUACUGUUUUUCUUGAAGAGGCUAGGGGGAGAUGGAAUUACCGGUGUAGCGGUGAAAUGCGUAGAGAUCGGUAGGAACACCAGUGGC
rnacentral:rRNA from 1 species